AGAACAGAAGAGGACGUCAUAACUCCACCUUACAUCUGAUUGUUGUGGCAGGAGCAGGGAAAUUAGCAGUUGCUACAACAAUCACUGUUGUUCUCCUGGUUAUCAUUUCCCUCUGUCUCUUCCUGUGGAUCAGGAAAAAGAGGGCUUCCAAGGAAUCGUCUAAGCCUGAAGAGAGACCAGACAACAGGGAACAGUUUCUACCUGAACAGCCAGAGGAGCAGGAUAACCUUCAGUAUGCCAGCACUCACUUCACCAACAACCAGGCAGAUCCUCUCUACUCCGACAUCAGACCAGCUCACUCCCUCAGACACACAGAGCAACAAGAUUUCAUGGACUAUGCUGCUGUCAUAUUUAAGAGUAAUACUGCCCCGAGAACCAGAGGUCAGGAAACUGGAGAGGAUCCAGCUGCAUUGUACAGCACAGUCAACAAAACCUAAUGACCAAAACAGAUAUUGCAUUUACAAAUUUACAAAUGAAUUAUAUGCCCUAGAGAAACUUACUUUGUUAUUUACACUGCAUGGGUCUGCUUUUUAGAAUAUGUAAAGUAUUUUUUGCAUUCACCUUUAAAUAUAAUUUGUCUGACUUUUGUAACAUUUAGUCUUUUC